GAGGAAAGGAGAGGGAGGAGGGCUGGAGAGAAGAGAGAGAGGAAAGGAGAGGGAGGAGGGCUGGAGAGAGUAAAGGAGAGGGAGGAGGGCUGGAGAGAAGAGAGAGAGGAAAGGAGAGGGAGGAGGGCUGGAGAGAGUAAAGGAGAGGGAGGAGGGCUGGAGAGAAGAGAGAGAGGAAAGGAGAGGGAGGAGGGCUGGAGAGAAGAGAGAGGAGAGGAGAGGGAGGAGGGCUGGAGAGAAGAGAGAGGAGAGAAGAGGGAGGAGGGCUGGAGAGAAGAGAGUGAGGAAAGGAGAGGGAGGAGGGCUGGAGAGAGGAGAGAGAGGAG
ensembl:lncRNA